CACACUCACACCCAUUCCCACACAGACACACUCGUACACACACACCCAUUCCCACACAAUCACAUUCCCCCCACACACACCCAUUCCCACACACACUCAUACACACACACUCACACCCAUUCCCCACACAGACACUCAUUCCCCACACACUCACACCCAUUCCCACACUAGACACACUCAGACACACACACUCACACCCAUUCCCACACACACAGACACACACGCAUGCACACACGCAUACACACACACAUUCACAGUCACACACGUUAAGCCAUUUUAACUUUAGCGCCUCAGCUCUCAGUCCCCAAAUCACCUGCACACCCAGAGGCAGGGGCUACUCACAACCAAGCACCUUGGACAGAGGCAGGUAAACCCACUAAGCUGGAUUCCUGGAGAAGCAGGAAAAAGCGGAGCCGUUUCUUCUUGGACAUCCUAGAUGCUCAGAUAAAAGAGAUGGAAUCUCAUUGGAUGGAUUUGAGGAAACCCCCAAAGCUGCUUCUUGAAAACAUCAACCAGCGACCUGCCGUGUGCUGAGAUUCUACCUGGCUCUUUGUUUUCAGGAAGUCUUCCUGAGAGAGCGCACUGUUGGCGUUUUGCUGGGUAGAUAUCCCUUGGGGGUGGUGUCCUACCUACUGAAGGGUGAACAGCAACCUUGCUCAACCAUCACCCCAACAAAAUCCAGGAGCACCCUCAGUCACUGUGACCCCCAAAUGGCAUUUGUUGUAUCCCCCAAAUCCAAGUCUUAACCCCCAGGACCUCAGAAUGCGGCUGUAUUUGGAAACAGGGUCUUUCAAGAGGUAACUAAACUAAGAUGAGGGCUUUGGAGUGGGCCCUAAUCUAAUCUGACCGGUGUCUUUAGGAUGCAGUUUGGGUAUUUGUCCCUGCCCAGAUCUCAUGUGGAAAUGUGAUCCUCAGUGUUGGAGGUGGGGAUUGGAGGGAGGUGUUUGGAUCAUGGGGGUGGAUCCCUCAUGAAUGGCUGGGCUAGCCUCUUGGUGAUAAGUGAGCUCGAGCCCUGGGUUCACAGGAGUCCUGGUCUUUUAAACGUGUGUGACACAUCCCCCCUCCUCUUUCUCACUCCUGCUUCCCCUUGUGAUGAGCUGGCUUCCCCUUCUUCUUCCGCCAUGACUGGAAGUUUCCUGAGGCCUCCCCAGAGACAGAUGACGUCACGCUUCCCGUACAGCCUGCAGAUCCCUGAGCCAAUUAAAGCUCUUUUCUUUAUAAAUUACCCAGCCUCAGGGACUUCUUUAUAGCCAGGUGAGAACGGACUAACGGGCUUUACAAGAAGAAAAUGUUGGGAAGCAGACACUGACAGAGGGAUGACCACGUGAGGACACAGGGAGAGGAUGGCGUCUGCAGGCCACCGAGGGGCCUGAGGAGGAACCAGCCCUGCCCACGCCGUGAUCUCAGAUUUCCGGACCUCAGGACUGCGGGGAAGGGAGUUUCUGUUGUUCAAGCUGCUCGGUCCACGGUACUUUGUUAUAGAAGCCACAGCAGAGUUAUAUGCAUGUGUAUGCGUGCACACACACACUCACACACACGAACACUAACACAAACACACACGGACACACACUUUCUCACACACAGACACACAAUGACACACAGACACACUGACCCACAGGCACACACAGACACACACUCUGUCACACUGACACACACACACUGACACACUCUCACAUACGGACACACACUCGCACUCUCACACACACUGACACACACAGACACACUGACACGCGGGCACACACACACACAGACACACACUCACACCGACACACAGACUUACGUACACUGACACUCUCACGGACACACACUCUCGCACUCUCAGACACACACACUGAUACAGACACACGCUGACACACAGAGACACACACACUGACACACAUCCACACAGAGGCCCCACAUUUCUCAGCCUUUUGAGGUAGUACAUUUAAAUAGCAUUUAAAAUACCUAUUAAUUCAUUAAAACACUCAUAAACCUGUUAUCUGUCAGCGUAAAUACCUCAUGACAAAUAGCUGACUGGAAACCACUGACUGAAAACCACAGAGUCAGCUCACGGAAGAUGGCUGUUAAAAUGCAAAUGCACUUUGGGGAGGACAUGGUGGCGUGAGUGUCAGGAAGGAGUGACUUGGCCUGUGAGUCAGCGUCUAGAAGGCGUGCGUCUGGCCUCUGAAGUCGGAUGGGAGGGCCUGGGCUGCCUCCUGACUGCCACUUCCCUGCUGCGCGGCCUCCAGCCAGUGUCUCCACCUCCCUGCCCUUGGUCCGUAAAUGGGGGGUAAUAGGACCCACUGCACGCGUUAUAGGAGGGUCAAGUGGCUCCGUAUCUGCAAAGGGCUUAGGACAGCGCCUGGAAAGCACGCAGCGUCUGCCUUCCUCCCUCACUGGGAAGCUCGGGGGAUGGGCCACACGGACACAGGCUAUUGGCUGAGGGAGCAGGGAGGGGCUGAGACACGAUCUGGAGUCCGGGACUCAAACAUUGGGUCUAAAGAGCUAUGGAGGCCCCCACGGAGCAUGCGUUUAUGGGGGUUGAAUGCAGCCACGAUGCCACAUUAGAAAUCACCAAUGAGAAACACUAGAAAUCGAAACUAAGAGCAUUUAAAAUACCUAUUAAUUCAUUAAAACAAUCAUAAACCUGUCAUACGUCAACGUAAAUACCUUAUGACGAACAGCUAUAUUUUCCAAAACAAAAAGCAUUUAGGGGGAGGCAUGGCAUUGUCUUCGUGUCUGCAGAGCUCUCGAGUGUCUGACUCGGAAGAGCUGGGUUUUCCUGCCUGCUCCUGCAUUCCACCUGCUUGCAGAGCAUGGAGACAGUUCCGUGUGACACAGACAUGCAGCUAGCAAAGUGGGUCCCUCAGGGGGUCUCGGGGAUGCCAGGGUCCAGGGGCCUCCCUGAGACAGCUUCUGAUAUGGUCGGGAAGGUGCUCCGCAGAGCCAGGGCAGUGGGCGUGCUGGGGAGCCAGGCUGGGGGGCUGGGCACCCCCUCCCUCAUCCAGAGCAGCCCUAUUCCUAUCAGAUACAUGUCUUGGGCUCUGAGUCAAAUGCUGUGUGUACAAUAAAGUGGAUACACCUGCUCUGGGGCCUGGGGCUACACUGGAAAGGUGAGGCUUUGGGAUGGGAUGGUGGAGGGGAAACGCUAGGGCCCUGGGAGAUAAGGGCAAGAGGCCUCAGGUGUGCCCAGGUGGGAGAGCCAGGGCACCUGCAGUGCUGCUGGUCCAGUCCCAAAGCCAGCAGAGGCCCUGCUACCUCCACAUGCUGGACUCCAGGAAUUGCUCCUGGCAGCAGCAGGGAGCUCUGUGGAGCCAGGACACAGAGCCACAUGGUGCGAGGGGGGCUGCUGCCAGGAGUGGAGAGGCGGCGUGCACAUGGGUGACCUUGAGUGCACAGGUGCUGUGUGCCCACACAAGAGGUGGCUGGCCCACGGGGUGCUGCCCUCCCUCUGCCCCCCCAGCACACCUGGUCCACACACCUGCCCUGCUUCACCUGGUGCCACACCCUUGGGAGCACUGCUGAGGCCUAGAAGUCCUGGGCAUGUGUGUGGCCUCCCGAUAGGCAGGGCUCUGGCUCUCAUCUGGGAGCACUGCAGAAGCUGUUGUCUGGGAGCACGGGUGUCCAAGCCCAUGGAGAGCUGUCCCCCAUGGAGAGCUGUCCCCCAUGGAGAGCUGUCCCCCAGAGCCACCUCUUGCUGGAGGCAGAGCACCUGCAGCAGGAUGUGGGCCUCACAUCUCAGGGCCUCGGCCUCCCUCGUGCUUACCCCUCCCACAGGCUCCUCUGCCCUUGCUGUCCUCGCCUGGACCCUCCCCGAGAUCCCUGAGUGCCCAUCCCUUCACCAGGAGCCACUGGCCCAGUGUCUGUUUCCUGCCUCACUUUCCUUCCCAGGGUAUCCCCUGCUGCCCCGCAUGGGGCUUCUUUACCUGCUGUCCGUCCACCCCAAGGCAGGAGCUCCCUGAAAGCUGGAGCACCAACAGCUCGGUCCCUGCAGAGUCCCAGCACCCAGUGAAGCCACUGUGAGGAGGACUUGGGCCUCAGGAUGCACGUGCAGCCAUGGAGACCCCACGGGGCGGCCCCUCGGAUGAUCCUGGCCUUCUGGGUGGUCCCUGAGGGUUUGUUUCUUUCUGGGACUUUCUAACAGGAGGUCCUGCUCCUUGCCGCCGACUCAGCCCUGCCUGUAGCUUCCACAGUGCGUCAGAAGUCACCACUCACCUGAUGCUGGGAAUCCUCCUCCCAGGGCUC
rnacentral:lncRNA from 1 species